UACGAAGGGGGCUAGCGUUGCUCGGAAUCACUGGGCGUAAAGGGCGCGUAGGCGGCCGGUCAAGUCGGGGGUGAAAGCCUGUGGCUCAACCACAGAAUGGCCUUCGAUACUGACGGGCUCGAGACCGGAAGAGGUCAGUGGAACUGCGAGUGUAGAGGUGAAAUUCGUAGAUAUUCGCAAGAACACCAGUGGCGAAGGCGGCUGACUGGUCCGGUUCUGACGCUGAGGCGCGAAAGCGUGGGGAGCAAACAGG
rnacentral:rRNA from 1 species